AGGUUAAUACCCAUAUAACUUCUGAACCAAUGGCUAAGUGGAAGUGUCAAAUUGCAAAUUCAAGUCCAUCCUUGAGAAAAUUGUGAAUGUUGGUUGUUUGAAUUGGGCAAAGCAGCGCGAUGACGUGCUUUGGGCAUAUAGGAUGACCUACAAAACUCCUAUUGGUAUUUUCCCUACCAAUUGGUGUUUGAGAAGGCAUGACACUCACCCAUUGAGUUGGAGCAUAAGGCUUUAUGGGCUUUGAAGAAAUUAAAUAUGGAUUGGUAGGAUGCAUCUAAAUCAGAAUGACUCAACUUCGUGAGUUGGAGCAUUUUUUACUCAAAGCAUAUGAAAGCUUCGUGUUGUAAAGGAAAAUUUGAAGAGGUGGCAUGAUGAAAAAAUAUUAAAGUAGGAGUUUCAUAUAGGUGAUGAUGUGCUCCUUUACAAUGCAAGUUUGAAGCUCUUUGCGAGUAAACUUAAAUCGAAUUGGUCGGGUCCAUUUGUGAUCUCAAAUAUUUAUCCUAGUGGUGUUAUUGAGUUGGAAGACCAUGAGAAGAAUUUAUUUGUGGUAAAUGGGCAAAGACUGAAGCAUUACCAUAUUGGUGUACCCAAAGCGGCUAAGAUUGAGUCAUUUGCUUCAUGGAUCCAAAAUAAUAAUGAAUGGGUUUCGUGUCGCGACGUUAAAUCAAGUGCUAGAUCGGAGGAACCCAUCGUUCUCAUGAUUUUUGCAUAUAUCCUUUGAAACUUAGAUUUUUAGAAUAUUUUAGGAUCUUUCUUUUUAACUAAUCCACAAAAUCUUGCAACUCUGAAAGUGAUUUGAGCAGAUUGAGAGGCAAAACAGGGAUUAGAAUGGAGUUUGGAGAAGCACCAGUCAAAAAAUAGGGGAAUUAAGCAACUGAUAAAUGGCACCUGAGGGACCUCAGUUAUCUGAUCAUGGUAGACAGAUUGCGAUCGCAAUUUGGCAGUUCAAGAGGGCCUCAGUUACCGUGAUCAUGAUACCUCUACUCAGACAAAAAUUGUGAUACCUUUUCAUGAUUAUGGCCCCAGCUGUUAUAAAUAUGGUUGAAUCACCUCCAAAAUGCUUCCACUCCCUUCUCCCCUUUAAAUACCAAAAAAUCCAUUAGUUCUUAUCAAUCAUAAAAGGUUUUCAAAGUGUUUUUCAUCCACAUCUGCACUCAAACAUCAGGUAUGCCUCUUAAUCUCUUUUUUAAUUAUUGAAAUUACUCCUUAAUCUCAUGUUUAGGACCCAAAAUUUGGUUUGUGAUUUCUUUGCUUGUUGGUGCUUAAAGUUGAUUUGUUUGGUGUUUUUAUGUUUCCCUUAGUGUGUACAUGAUUGGGUAAGUCUUGAGUACCCAAAUUUGAUUCAAAAUAAGUGAGAAUUUCAAUUGCACAUCAAGUGUUUGUCAAAUUGCCCAAAUGAAACCAUUGAGAGUUUUUCUAUGUUUUCUAGGGCAUUUUGAGUGAUUAUGAGUUGUGGUUCAUGUUCUAUGGUUUAUUGAUCAUGUGUUAUCAAAAUUGAUGAAGAUAAUGAAAAAUUAGGGCCGUAAAAUAUUACUGAGGCACCGCGAUUGUGGUCUCGGAUUGCGAUUGUGUCACCUGAGACUCGUCUAUAGGUAAUACUCAGGUAUCACGAUCGCAGUCUCUGAUUGCGAUCCUGCACCUGAGGCUUGCCUAUAGGUAACUCUUAGGUAUAGAGAUCACAGUCUCUAAUCGCGAUUGUGGCACCUGAGUCCUACCUAUAGGUAACUUUUAGGUAUUACAAUCGCGGUCUCAGGUCGUGAUCGCGACACGUGUGGCCUAUCUGCGGGUCCGACCAAAUUCAUGAAACUUGAUGUUUGAGGCUGAAUUCAAUCCAUCAACCAUUUCUUUGAUGUCUGGACUUGGUAUGAUCGUGAUGCAUCAUCUCGCGAUUGCAACACCCUUGCCUGUCUGGACCUGUCAGAAUCGUGAUGCAUCUUCUCCUGAUUACAUCAUAUUUGCCUAUAUUUCCUGCCACUAACUCUUAGGUAUCAUGAUCGUGGUAUCGGGUUGCAAUUAAGACACCAAAUCCCUGUCUGCAAGUUUAACCAAAAUCAUAAAAUUUAAUGUUUGAGCCUGAACUUAAUUCCUCAACCAUUUCUUUAGCUUUUAUUAGUCACAUAGCAUUGUUUUCACAUGAUAAUCUAGAAAGUUCAUACUUGUAUAUUGUAUUUCAGGUUUUCAACCAAAAGCUAAGAAUGGCAGAUUUCGACCAAAAGCGAUUUCUCUCUCCCGACUGUCAAGCUAUCUAUUAUGAUAAUUUUUAUAGAAACAAAUUAUUCAUUGAAAGAGGCAUCUACUUGAAGUGAGUUCCUGAGAUGCUCUCGGCCAUCUAUCAGAGGUUUGAGUAGACGGGAUGAAUAUUUUUUGGACCAGAUCCAUAAUAUUCCAAUGAGCAAUGGGUGAGGGAGUUUUAUGCAAAUCUCACAGUCGUAAACCUAUCAGAUCCAGUAAUAAGGAUAAGAGGCAAGGUAGUCCAUUUUGGGUACGAUGAGAUCAAUAUGGUGUAUGCCAACAUGUCACUAUUUGAAGCAAAAAAUUAUGCUCCGGGUAGUUGGUAGAUCUCACAGCUGUGCCUGAGAAGAGAAGUGCCUUGGACAACCACAAAAUCCAUGAUCAUUUUGAAUAACUUUACAAUAGAGGCGAGGAUUUGGUUGAUGAUCAUUUGCAGCUAUGUCCCUCCGAGCAUAAAUAUUACAAGUAUCCCAUUAACACAAGCUCAGAUGGUUGCCUGUAUCAGAGACAAAAUUCUUUUGAAUGUUGUUAAUUUUGUUCUCUCAGAUCUUCGAGCAUAUAAGUCCCACGGUGGUCCCAUACUGAUAUUUCCUUUCCUGAUCACCGAGUUAUACAAAUGGGCGGGAGUCGAAGAGUGUUUGAGGGAAACUCGGAUAUCACCAAAGACAUCAAUCUACCCAUUAAAAAUGCACAGUGAAGGUGCACCUUCUAAAAGUAAGAAAAGUAAAAUUAAUACGAGUAAGUUGGUUUAGGAUGACCUCAAAUUAAUACGAGUAAGUUGGUUUAGGAUGACCUCAACUUUUGUAGACCAUCAUCAGUGGAGCCAUUCAAGGAAUUGAAAAGUGAGAUAUGGAUGGUUCGGGAGUUGGUUUCCAGAUUACCCACAGGACCUGGUGAGUCUUCUGCCAGUCUGACCUGCUAUGUCCCUCAGAGGGAUUAUGAUAAGCUCUUGGAAGAUUAGCAGAGGCAAGGGGCUAGAAUUUCCAAGUAAGAGAAAGCUUACAUUUCCUUGACCAAGUCUCACCAAGAGUUGAGUGAGUCACAUGAAAAGAUGAAGAAGAUGGAAAAAAUAGGACAAAUUCUUCACCC
rnacentral:lncRNA from 1 species